rnacentral:tRNA from 1 species
UGGGGUAUCGCCAAGCGGUAAGGCACAGGACUUUGACUCCUGCAUUUCCGGUGGUUCGAAUCCACCUACCCCAGCCA